rnacentral:rRNA from 1 species
CAACCUGCCGCUUACUCGGGGAUAGCCUUUCNAAAGAAAGAUUAAUACCCGAUGGUAUAAAGAGUUCGCAUGUUCUCUUUAUUAAAGAAUUUCGGUAAGCGAUGGGGAUGCGUUCCAUUAGAUAGUUGGCGGGGUAACGGCCCACCAAGUCUACGAUGGAUAGGGGUUCUGAGAGGAAGGUCCCCCACAUUGGAACUGAGACACGGUCCAAACUCCUACGGGAGGCAGCAGUGAGGAAUAUUGGUCAAUGGACGAGAGUCUGAACCAGCCAAGUAGCGUGAAGGAUGACUGCCCUAUGGGUUGUAAACUUCUUUUAUAAGGGAAUAAAGUGAGGGACGUGUCCCUUUUUGUAUGUACCUUAUGAAUAAGGAUCGGCUAACUCCGUGCCAGCAGCCGCGGUAAUACGGAGGAUCCAAGCGUUAUCCGGAUUUAUUGGGUUUAAAGGGAGCGUAGGUUGACAUAUAAGUCAGCUGUGAAAGUUUACGGCUCAACCGCGAAAUUGCAGUUGAUACUGUAUGUCUUGAGUGUACAAGAGGUGGGCGGAAUUCGUGGUGUAGCGGUGAAAUGCUUAGAUAUCACGAAGAACUCCGAUUG